rnacentral:rRNA from 1 species
CCUACGGGUGGCUGCAGUGGGGAAUUUUGGACAAUGGGGGCAACCCUGAUCCAGCCAUGCCGCGUGCGGGAAGAAGGCCUUCGGGUUGUAAACCGCUUUUGUCAGGGAAGACAUCUUCCGAGCUAAUACCUUGGGAGGAUGACGGUACCUGAAGAAUAAGCACCGGCUAACUACGUGCCAGCAGCCGCGGUAAUACGUAGGGUGCAAGCGUUAAUCGGAAUUUCUGCGGGUGAUUGGGGCGGACAGGUUUGAAAUCCCCGGGCUUAACCUGGGAACUGCACUUGUGACUGUACGGCUGGAGUACGGCAGAGGGGGAUGGAAUGCCGCGUGUAGCAGUGAAAUGCGUAGAUAUGCGGAGGAACACCGAUGGCGAAGGCAGUCCCCUGGGCCUGUACUGACGCUCAUGCACGAAAGCGUGGGGAGCAAACAGGAUUAGAUACCCGGGUAGUC